UAUUCCCCACUGCUGCCUCCCGUAGGAGUCUGGGCCGUGUCUCAGUCCCAGUGUGGCUGGUCGUCCUCUCAGACCAGCUACAGAUCGUUGGCUUGGUGAGCUUUUACCCCACCAACUACCUAAUCUGAUAUCGGCCGCUCCAAUCGCGCGAGGUCUUGCGAUCCCCCGCUUUCACCCUCAGGUCGUAUGCGGUAUUAGCUACUCUUUCGAGUAGUUAUCCCCCACGACUGGGCACGUUCCGAUAUAUUACUCACCCGUUCGCCACUCGUCAGCUUAACCUGUUACCGUUCGACUUGCAUGUGUAAGGCAUGCCGCCAGCGUUCAUCCUGAGCCAA
rnacentral:rRNA from 1 species